rnacentral:lncRNA from 1 species
GAAACAGAAGCUGACAAUCAACGUAAGCGAAAGGGGAAAAACUUGAGGGUCGAUAAUGAUGGUUUUGUGGAAGAUUCACCCAAACUUCAAUCCACGAAAAAACAAAAGGUGUCUCCUUCCCCCUCAAAAGAAAAAAAGAAGAAACCCUCUAAAAAACCUACAAAAUUGGUUCCACAAAAAAUUUCAUUGAAGGUAAACAUUUUUUAUUUCUCCUUAAUGUUUUGUAGUUUAAUAUUAUUUGCCAAAAAAUAGUAUGCAA